GGUCCUUCGGGAGAAAAUAAAGGGGGGGAGAUGGAGGUUAAUCCACAAAGGAUCAGGCAAAGCUGCCUGCAUCACAACCUCUGUUUUCAGGCAGAGGUGGCAUCUGCAAUACAUACUCCUUUUGCACGGGAUGUGCCCUCAGCUAUUCACUGCAGUAGGAAGAGGACUCAGAAACAAGCCAUGAUCCCAGAUGAACAUUAUACCCAGACAAUACAAUAUAGAAGAUGUGCCUCUCCCAUUGGCAGAGCCUGAGGAAUUUCAGGUCAGUUUCUCCAGCUUGUUUUUGUUGAGUGGAAUUCGGAGUUAUAUCUAACAAUCAUUGUUUCUGCUAAUUCUCGGGUCCUUUUCCCAAGGGUGAUUUAUCUCCCUCAUCAUGAAGACUCUAAACUAAGUGCAGUAGCUGAUUCUCAGAGCAAAGAAUUGAUUUUACAUGGGUAGCAGCUGGCAGUGGAGUGUAAAUCAAAUAGCUAUGUACAAAAUUAAUACAGUUCACUUACAUCACUCCAAAAAAUCAUUGGAAUUGGAUUAAAGUGCUCUUCCAACACCAAAUAUUGUCAUCUGAUCCACACUAACAAACGUGGGCUGUAGUAGUUGUGCCAUGCUAUAGUCCUUUUCUCUUUUUAACUGACAACUAACACAUUUUUUAUUAAGACAAAAGGUUUUCCAGUGCUGGUCCAGAGAUAGAACUAAUGAAAGUCCUCAACCAGAACACCAGACACUGGAAAAAGUCUAUGAAACUGGCUCCUAACAGCCAGGUGAGGACAUGCCCUGCAAGCAUCUACAAUCAUAAAACAAGUACCAGAAAAUAUGUAUUAGAAUAAACAAAAAAAAAUCAAAAAGUAUUUAUUAAAAAUAAUUAAUAGAAAGACAAAAGGAGCUUACAUAUUUUUCUUCGGAGCUGGCAGAAAUGGCAUGCUGCUUGGAUUUACUAACCUUGAAGGGAGAAAAGAGAAAAGCAUUUGUCAGUAUUUCUCACUAAGAUGCAGAGAAAAUAAUGCAAGUGAUUGGUGAUCCACAUUUGUGAUUUACUCACUGGCCAUGCAGCGGUGAUGCUGAUAAGGCAUAAACACAAAGCUGCCACCUUCAUUGUGAUGUUCUACCUAGAAAAUAUUUUGGAACAGUGAGUCAACAAGGUAAAGUACCACACAAAUGCCAUAGGCUUUUCCUUUUUCCCAGUGUACUUCACUGUGCUGAGAACAGCUCCCUGCUAUGGAUCCAACCUACACACACUAAUUUUUUUCUUUUGUCCUCCAUCACCACCGCACACCCAGCUGGUUUGUCAUGACUUAGCUACUCAAAAGCUAAAAUAAUUUUUAGGAGGUUCUGAGAAGAGCUGAGCAGUGGUGAGAGUGGCCACAUUGAGAAGGUGAACUGAAUCCUGUCAGCUAAUGACUUGCACAGACAAAGGAAAAGCUUUGUGUAGGGAAAGAGUGU